rnacentral:rRNA from 1 species
UACAGAGGUGGCAAGCGUUGUUCGGAAUUACUGGGCGUAAAGGGCGCGUAGGCGGCCAUCUAAGUCGGACGUGAAAUCCCUCGGCUCAACCGGGGAACUGCGUCCGAUACUGGCGAGGCUUGAAUCCGGGAGAGGGAUGUGGAAUUCCUGGUGUAGCGGUGAAAUGCGCAGAUAUCAGGAGGAACACCUAUGGCGAAGGCAGCUCGCUGGGACGGUAUUGACGCUGAGACGCGAAAGCGUGGGGAGCGAACAGG